rnacentral:misc_RNA from 1 species
UACGGAGGGUGCAAGCGUUAUCCGGAAUCAUUGGGUUUAAAGGGUCCGUAGGCGGGUGCGUAAGUCAGGGGUGAAAGUCUGCCGCUCAACGGUAGAAUUGCCUUUGAUACUGCGCAUCUUGAAUUGGUAGGAAGUGGUUGGAAUGAGUGGUGUAGCGGUGAAAUGCAUAGAUAUUACUCAGAACACCGAUUGCGAAGGCAGGUCACUACUACUGGAUUGACGCUGAUGGACGAAAGCGUGGGGAGCGAACAGG